rnacentral:lncRNA from 1 species
AAAAUAAUGACAUUUCUGCCCUUACAAGUAAUUCCUUCAUUUUAUUGCUUGUAGGAAGGAGCUGUAAUAUGAAGUGAAGGAAAACUGCUUCACCACUUUAACCUCGCACAGUCUGAGAAAGAAAUUACAAAGAAAACGAACCUAUUCCUAAGCCAAUAACCCACCUUGUACCUACCACUUCCAUGAACAAAACCCUCUUCCCAAUGUGCUUUUGAAGCCACUUGCACAAUGGACAAUGGGGAGUGUACUGUCAGUUAAUGUACAAGGCUCUGUCACCACUCCUGAAGAAGUGAGGGAAUCAGUUGUUACUGGUGGAGACCAACACACAAUGUGUGAAUGGGAAGAACUUGCUUGCAUUGUUUUCUGCCUAGGUAUACCACUGUUUCCACAGUAAUUUCCAUUUUAAGUGUAGAGGUAUUUUCUUAAUAUAAUCUUUAAAAAGCAUCAACUUAAAAACACAUUUUGCAUUUAUAAUUAGAAGACACAUUUUAUUCCAGAAUUGGCCAGAAACAUGGGUAAUAACUUCUCAGUGUUACUGCAGGUCAGCAAUAACAGGAUUUGGAUCAGCAAAACUCUGUUGCUUACAUACUUCAUGGAAAACCAUCCAUUUUCUCUUCUGCUAAGUGGGAAGAAUUACUUUAUAUGUCUAGAGAUAGAAAAAAACCACGUGAAAGCAGCAUAUGUGUGCUCCAUCUCUUCAAUUUCUAGAGGUUUCUGA